AGUGAACGCUGGCGGUAGGCCUAACACAUGCAAGUCGAAUGGCAGCACAGUACGAGCUUGCUCUUACGGGUGGCGAGUGGCGGACGGGUGAGGAAUACAUCGGAAUCUACUUUUUCGUGGGGGAUAACGUAGGGAAACUUACGAUAAUACCGCAUACGACCUACGGGUGAAAGCAGGGGAUCUUCGGACCUUGCGCGAUUGGAUGAGCCGAUGUCGGAUUAGCUAGUUGGUGGGGUAAUGGCCCACCAAGGCGACGAUGGGUAGCUGGUCUGAGAGGGUGAACGGCGACAUUGGGACUGAGAUACGGCCCAGAGUCCUAUGGGAGGCAGCAGGGGGGAAUAUUGCACAAUGGGCGGAAGUCUGAUGAAGCAACGCCGCGUGCGGGAUGAAGGCCUUCGGGUUGUAAACCGCUUUCGCCUGUGACGAAGCGUGAGUGACGGUAAUGGGUAAAGAAGCACCGGCUAACUACGUG
rnacentral:rRNA from 1 species